rnacentral:lncRNA from 10 species
GGAAAGCACAGCGUCCCUGACCCCAGGUCCUCGGUGGACUCGGGAACAAGGACGGGCUGAAUUCAGCUACCGCCUCAUUUAAUGUGGAGCCGUCAUUCAGGACGUGUGUCUCCAUCGGAGACAAAGCCAGCCUUCCUGUGCGUGGCAUAGCGGGAGCCCCAGUCUACAUAACUGACUCCAGCAAUUUCCUCUCCUAACCACACCUGCCACUCUCCUCCCUACCCUGAAAGUAAUAGGACUCAGCUUCCACAGCCACCACGCCGUUCACACCACCUUUAUGUCAAGAGGGUCACAGCAUCCCAGGGAGGUCAGCAGGGAAGGUCCCAGCAUCCCCAUCACACAGAGGAGGAAGCUGAGGCCAGGAGGGCGUCUGGCCGGUUCAAGAUUACAAAAUCUUCCCAGGGCAAGAACCUGCAUCUUC